UCCAGGGUAGCCUAGUGGACAUGGCAUCUGCCCGGUAAGCGUACGUUGUGGGUUCGAUUCCCGCCCCUGGAC